GUGGGGAAUAUUGGACAAUGGGCGAAAGCCUGAUCCAGCCAUGCCGCGUGAGUGAUGAAGGCCUUAGGGUUGUAAAGCUCUUUCAGUAGGGAAGAUAAUGACGGUACCUACAGAAGAAGCCCCGGCUAACUUCGUGCCAGCAGCCGCGGUAAUACGAAGGGGGCUAGCGUUGUUCGGAUUUACUGGGCGUAAAGCGCACGUAGGCGGAUUGGUCAGUUAGAGGUGAAAUCCUGGAGCUCAACUCCAGAACUGCCUUUAAUACUGCCAGUCUAGAGUCCAGAAGAGGUGAGUGGAACUCCUAGUGUAGAGGUGGAAUUCGUAGAUAUUAGGAAGAACACCAGUGGCGAAGGCGGCUCACUGGUCCGGUACUGACGCUGAGGUGCGAAAGCGUGGGGAGCAAACAGGAUUAGAAACCCCGGUAGUCC
rnacentral:rRNA from 1 species